GCACGUAGUUAGCCGUGGCUUACGCAAGGUACCGUCGUACCGCGGGAUUAUUCAGCCCACGGCUCUCUUCCCUUGCUUGUGAGGUUUACAUCCCGAAGGAUUUCCUCCCUCACGCGGCGUUGCUGGGUCAGGCUUGCGCCCAUUGCCCAAAAUUCCCCACUGCUGCCUCCCGUAGGAGUCUGGCCCGUGUGUCAGUGCCAGUGUGGCUGGCCGUCCUCUCAGACCAGCUACAGAUCGCAGCCUUGGUGAGCCAUUACCUCACCAACUAGCUAAUCUGCCGCAGGCUCCUCUUCAGGCGCGAGGUCUUGCGAUCCCCCGCUUUAACAACUAAUCACCAUUAGGUGCCGCUGCAUUAUGCGGUAUUAGCCCAAGUUUCCCUGGGUUAUUCCCCACCCGAAGGCAGAUUACCCACGUGUUACUCACCCGGACGCCACUCUACUUACCCCCGAAGGGGCUUUCGCGUUCGACUUGCAUGUGUUAGGCACGCCGCCAGCGUUGAUU
rnacentral:rRNA from 1 species